UACGGGGGGGCAAGCGUUGUUCGGAAUUACUGGGCGUAAAGGGCUCGUAGGCGGCCAACUAAGUCAGACGUGAAAUCCCCAGGCUCAACCUGGGAACUGCGUCUGAUACUGGUUGGCUUGAAUCCGGGAGAGGGAUGCAGAAUUCCAGGUGAUAGCGGUGAAAUACGUAGAUAUCUGGAGGAAUACCGGUGGCGAAGACGGCAUCCUGGACCGGCAUUGACGCUGAGGAGCGAAAGCUGAGGGGAGCAAACGGGG
rnacentral:rRNA from 1 species